rnacentral:rRNA from 1 species
UACGUAGGGUGCGAGCGUUAUCCGGAAUUAUUGGGCGUAAAGAGCUCGUAGGCGGUUUGUCGCGUCUGCUGUGAAAACUGGAGGCUCAACCUCCAGCCUGCAGUGGGUACGGGCAGACUAGAGUGCAGUAGGGGAGACUGGAAUUCCUGGUGUAGCGGUGAAAUGCGCAGAUAUCAGGAGGAACACCGAUGGCGAAGGCAGGUCUCUGGGCUGUAACUGACGCUGAGGAGCGAAAGCAUGGGGAGCGAACAGG